AGGAUGAACGCUGGCGGCGUGCUUAACACAUGCAAGUCAAGGGGGCCCGAGGCGCAAGCCUUGGGCAACCGGCGAACGGGUGCGUAACACGUGAGCAACCUACCCAGGUGUGGGGGAUAGCCGUCCCAACGGACGGGUAAUACCGCAUACGCUCAACACGAGGCAUUUCGAGUUGAGGAAACGUCCGUCGGCACAUGGAGGGCUCGGCGCUA
rnacentral:rRNA from 1 species